rnacentral:lncRNA from 1 species
AGCAUCUUCUCUCUUCACUCACCCUUCCUGGUGCUUUGGAGAAUCAGCGUUGGAGAUCUGAGAGAUGAAGCGCACGAACCCUCGCAUUUUACAGAAGUGAGGAAACAGGCCGCAGGAUGGGAUAUCUGCCCCCAAAAUCACACAGCAGAGGCCAGACGCAGAGCUAGGCGAGAGAAAUGGGCACCACUAAGCUGGCGAUGUAAAGCUUGGCUUCCCUCCCUCCUUAGACAAGAUGUCUCACCAGAAAAAGCAACCCACUCCCCAGCCCCCAGUGGGCUGCGGGAAGAUCUCCGGCGGUGGCGGCGGUGGCGGCGGCGGCGGCAGCGGAGGCGGCUCUGGCGGCUGCGGUUUCUAUAGCGGCGGCGGCGGCGGAGGCGGUGGCUCUGGCGGCUGCGGCGGCGGCAGUGGCGGCAGUUCCGGAGGGAACAUCAAGUACUCCGGCGGCGGCUCCUCCAGCUGCGGCGGCGGCUCCUCCAGCGGCGGCGACUCCAGCUGCGGCGGCGGCUCCUCCGGGGGCAGCAGUGGCUUCUACUCCGGCGGCGGCGGCGGCGGCAGCUCGGGCCAGCAGGUGCAGUGCCAGAGCUACGGAGGCAUUUCUAGCGGCGGUUCCUCCGGGGGCGACUCCAGCUGCGGCGGCGGCUCCUCCGGUGGCGGCUCCAGCUGCGGGGGCGGUUACUCCGGCGGCGGCGGCUCCAGCUGCGGCGGGGGCUCCUCUGGCGGCGGCCCCGGCUAUUUCUCGUCGCAGCAAUCCACCCAGACCUCCUGCGCGCCCCAGCCGAGCUACGGAGGAGGGUCGUCUGGCUGCAGCGGCUCCUCCGGGGGCGGCAGCGGCUGCUUUUCCAGCGGCGGGGGCGGCGGGGGCUCCGGCUGCGGCGGCGGCUCCUCCGGAGGUGGCAGCGGCUGCUUCUCCAGCGGUGGGGGCUCCUCCGGGGGCGGCGGCGGCUGCUUCUCCAGCGGUGGGGGCUCCUCCGGGGCCAGCGGCUCCUCCGGGGGUGGCUCCGGGAGUGGCAAGGGCGUCCCGGUCUACCACCAGACCCAGCAGAAGCAGGCACCCACCUGGCCAAGCAAAUAAGGCCCCCUUGGACGCCAAGGAGGCGAAGGAGAUGGAGGUGUUCUCCGUGGGCGCCGAUGGGCUUAGCGCUCUCAUGAUAUUGCCCUGAAGUUUCCGUUUUCUUUAUGUCUUAACUCACCUGGAAGAAGCCAUUGAGCUCUCAGGCUGCAUCUUGUUCUGCAGUUUUUCUCCUUGGUUUCUGUACAACUGCCUCCCAAUCCCAGUGCCUCCUCAGUCAAUAAAUUUGCAAUUCAUGAGAAUAUUUGGGUUUCCAGGAGUCUUUGUAGCUUCCAAGUUCAUUCAUUCCAUUC